GUGUCAGCAGCCGCGGUAAUACAGAGGUGGCAAGCGUUGUUCGGAAUUACUGGGCGUAAAGGGCGCGUAGGCGGCCUUCUAAGUCAGACGUGAAAUCCCCCGGCUUAACCUGGGAACUGCGUCUGAUACUGGAGGGCUUGAGUGCGGGAGAGGGAUGUGGAAUUCCAGGUGUAGCGGUGAAAUGCGUAGAUAUCUGGAGGAACACCGGUGGCGAAGGCGGCAUCCUGGACCGACACUGACGCUGAGGCGCGAAAGCUAGGGUAGCAAACGGGAUUAGAUACCCUUGUAGUCC
rnacentral:rRNA from 1 species